rnacentral:lncRNA from 1 species
AUGGAUUUCAUGGGAGUCAGGGAGCAGAAAGUUGGUUUGGUUUUGUCCCUAAAUGGAAGAGUCCAACACACUUUUACUGGAUUAAAGGCCAUACCUCAUCUCCUUUCUCUGGAUGGAUUACUGAAGUGCAAAAAGAACAUUCACCAUGGUAACAUCAAUGUGAUGGUCAACAAGAGACUGUAUGGACUGCAUGUCAGGAACAGGAAUGUAUUUGGGAAAAGCACUGUGCACAAUAUCACCAUUGCCAUUUUUCAGAAUGGCAGUCAGGCAAUCCCAGGGGAGGCAAGACUGAACGGACACCUGGAACUGAGUAAAAAGGAGAAAAGGGGGCUAGCCAGCUUCCAGGUGGAUGAGAAGGCUCUUUCUGUAGAUUUUUUAAAUAUCAUGGAUCAUGAGCAUGGCAGAGUCAGCGGGACUUUCACACAUAAUGUCGACUUUUUAAAAAAUGCAGGCUUACCUUUGGAUGGCAUUCUUACUGCCACAUGUGAGCAUGGCACAGGAAAUCACACCAUUGCCAUUGCCCUGCAGAGUGGCAGUGAAAGGAUUGCUGCUGUGUUUGAGGGGCACAGACUAGCCACAGAGCCUCCAACAUCCCAGCUAUCUGUGAUCUUAAAGCACAACACCUCAAAGAUAAAGAAACUUGGGAUCCCUUUUGUUUUAGAAGCUGCUGGCUAUUAUGAGGUAAGAAGAGUUCUACCUGUGAAAGUAUAAUUUCUGACAGGACAAUUUGUGUAUAUAUAAUAACUCUAGACUUUUCC